UAAAGUAGCUUACGCAGCAGCCAGU
rnacentral:misc_RNA from 1 species